AUGCUUUUCCAGGCCAGUCACCACAGUACAGCAUCAACACCCAUGAGCGAUUUCUAAGAAUCUUCCCUCCUUGCAUGGCUCCAUCUAACAAAAAUUGCCAAGUAUGAAAGGUGACAAAAUCUUUGAGAGCAUCACCCUGGAUAGACGUUCUGGAGUGAAGCAUGCCUUUUCACAAAGACUCUCAGUCUUUGCAACAACAAACCCAGAGGCAAACCUGAGCCUCCUUGUGAGACGUCAGCCCCAGAAAUGAUGGCACAUCAUCAGCCUGGACUCCUGAGUGACUUUUAUGUGGAGCAGAGCUGCUCUGACCCUGAACCACCGUCUCCAGAUGAUA